rnacentral:tRNA from 1 species
CGCGGGGUGGAGCAGCCGGGUAGCUCGUCGGGCUCAUAACCCGAAGGUCGUCAGUUCAAAUCUGGCCCCCGCA